GGGCGGAGGCGGCUCCGCCGCGUGUUGGGCGCUGCGAGCAGGGAGCGCUGCGAUAUCGCCGGCAUGACGGGGCUGCUGCCUGCGUUAGUGCCCGUGGCUCUUUGUGCCGUGACAGCGGAUGGAGCGGCGCUGGGCGGUAAAGCCAGAGAUGGCCGGGAGAAUGCCCAGCGCAGGGAGCGGGCGGGCUGUGUGCUUCGGAUGGCACAGGUGCGAGCUGCAAAGUCACCCCCCCCUUCCGCCCCUGCCCUCCCGAGCCCCGGGGAAAAUGCUUUCCAGCAUUGUCGAGCUUCUGAGAGACAAAACUUGUGAUUUGACACUAGCAUCCAGAAAAUGUUUCUGUCUAGAUUAGCAAAUGCCUAAAUUGUUCUUGGUUACAUCCCAUGACCGGUUUUAGGCAGUGACUUCAUACUGCUUUUAGGAUUUUCUUGUACAGUGGUGAGAAAAUAGGCAGGUCUGAUAGUGGUUUCACUUUUUUUCUACUUCACGUUCCAUAAGAUUCUUUUAUCCAAGCGAUUGUUUUAAAAUUCUACUGUAAGCGUUUGUGGUUCACUUUUUUUUUCUUUGCAGCACCCGGGCCUUUUUUUUUUUUCUCUAAAUCGGGAGUAAAUAUAGCUGAGUAAAAUUACCUUGGCUAUCUUCCUUCUUUUUAAACUUAAUUGUUUUUAUUAAUAAUUCUAUUUGAAUAUGCAGAAAAAGUGGGUAUGUCCUGUAAUCUAUGCUAGCUUUUCUCAUUUACAGGGUACUCACAAAAUAUGUCUCCCUUAGUGUCCCACAGAAACAUUCUGGGUGAAAUCUGAAUUAAGGUAUGUGUUUUCAAAUAAGUAAUCAGUUUAGAUAUUUGCCUGUGUACCUUUUCCUGUAAUUCAGAGCUUGUGUUCUGUGGGUUUUAUGAUAAACCUGUAAAACAUGUAAGAAUGGUUUUGCAAGUCUGAAUCGUUGAAGGCAGCAAUAAGUGGAUUUAAAGCCUGUUCUUGAGCAGACAAAGGGGAAAAGUGUGACUCUGAUGCUGAACUUGUCAUUUUUCAUUUGACUUGCCUUUAAUUAUUGAAGAAGAGAGAGAACUAGGAAAAGAAAUAGAAUUGAUUAUUGAGCACUCCUAAAAAGCUCACCAUGAUUCUGUGUAGAGCCAAAGUGAAGGAUGAUGGAACAGAGCUCUGUGCAUUAGAAGGAAAUAAACCUGAUGUCCACACAGAGUCUUACUAAUUUCUGUUUUUAAAAUGCAAAAUAAGUUUAGGAAGUGUUGGAAGUUAGUAUUUUGGGAAAGAAAUGGCAGUUCCACAAAACAUUCCAUUCCAUUUAAGAGAGGCCCUUGGACUGAUUCAUGUUGUAACUGCUGUCACUGCAAUCAGUUGGUGGUUCAGCCUUGAAACGUGCACUUGGCCUUCUAUAAAGCACUGUUUUGUUUGCCUUUCAGUGCUAUGAGUCUUGAUAAAUUGGAGAAGUGCCCAAGAGAAAUUCAUCAUCCUGAGAUACAAAAGGUAGGAAGUGACUUUGUUUGGUUUGGUUCUUUUUCUUUAUUGUUUUCUGGAAAUAGAAGUAAUUAAGUAUAGAUACUACUGGUUUGUUUCUUCCAGUAGCUGAUAAUACUAAUACCAAUAAUAAUAAUAAUAAGAGUAAAGUAAUACUACUUCAACUGUCUUUAUUUAUCCAUUGGACUGGCCAUUUUAAAUCUAAACUUCUAAACACAAAUCAAACCAUCAUCCUUGUAGAAUCUUUAAUAGGAGUGGGCUAAAGAUCCUGGUUUUGUUGACAGGAUUUAUUGGUUCAUGAAGAGCAAGAGGUAAGUACAAGCCUAACUACCCUCUAGCUCACAAACCUGCCCGGUGAAUAGAGCUUUGUUUUUUUGAUGGGCUUGUGAUGACUUUGAAAUCAAUUGCUCAUUCAUUACAGUAAAAAAAAAAAAAAUUGUUUUGAACAUGACAGCAAAAAUAACUUUAAGCACAACUUAAUAAUAAUAGAUCACCAAUUUUAGUUAAUAAUUUUAUGCUGUACUCUUGGGUGAGGGAAGACUCGGACACUCAAUAUGAGAUCAGCAAGCUAUGUUUAUUGCAGAGAGUAUCAGACACUUAUACAGCACAUAAUAAGCUUAUGAAUAUUCUGUAAGCCAAGCGAUCUAUUGGUUAAACUAUACCAUCAACUCUUCCUCAUUCCUUUGGGCCUACAUUCCCUAUUUCCCACGUCUCUCUGUCUACUUGUUAUCCUACCCAGCUAGGCCCAGGCACACGCUAUCUUGCAGGUGCAAAACUCAAAAAUACCUGUGUUCGGUACUUUCCCAGCUCCUGGUCGGCUAACGAGCGAAUGUCUGCGUGACCUCUGUCAUGGAGCCAUUUCUCCACACUAUACUAUCAAAGUUUAAAGGUAAAUUAUUAUAUAUUAGGAGAUGGUGUAAAGUGUAUGUUGUAAUGUGUAGGAUAUAUACAAAGAUACAUUCUUGAAAGUCUGUAGAGGAAACAAAUUUUUACGCCUUCUGUUUGACUGUUUGUCAUAUAUUUGGUUUUAUUUCCCAGGGAUCAGUGAAUUUUAACUCUGGAGUCCUCUAUGCUAAGGAUGCUCAGCUUACAGAUGAUGAAAUGUUCAGUAAUGUAUUUGCUGGAGCUGUGCUUACCCAAGGUUUGGGUAAAACAAGCUUUGGGUUCCCUCUGUCUCACUGGGAGUUGCCCAAUUCAGUUGCAUCUGGUGAAAUUCACCCUGAGACCUUACAGAACCAGCUCCAACUACGUGAGAGCCAUUUGCAGUUCUCUCCAGACGCCUGGAGAAUGGGUGACGUUUCUGAGGAUCCGGCGAGCGUGCUUCUAUCAAAACUCAGUCUGUGAAAUUUCUGGGGAAAACCCUUCUGUGUCCUGAAGGGUUCAAACUCUGGUGAGGAUCCAGUUAUCAGGUGCUCACCUGGAUGGUUCCAGCUCCCAAAGGGAAAGACUCUCGUAUCCUUGUCGUCGGGCUCGGUGCUGUCCAAGAAGAUACAGAGACUAAAAAAAUCAUAAGAAGCAAAAUAUGACUGCAGGGAAAAGAAGCUGGAGAGAACAGAAGGGGCUGUUUCCAAAGUGACCUACAGACAUUGGAAUGAAAUCAUUAUUUACUGUGUAAAAGAAUCACUCUCCAAAGCAUCAGCCAGGGUCUAAAUGUGCCAUUCUGCCUUUUAAAAGUACCAACAUCACAGGAUUUUUCUCAGAUUAAAGCUUCCAUGGAGUCGGAUCUCUCAAGCCUGGCCCUUGAGAAUUGUGGGCCUCCUGUGAACUGGUCUUGCCAGAAGGGCUUGCUGAGUUUUCCAUUGUGUGGAAAAGAGAUCCCAUUUGGAGCCUGAAGCCUCGUGUUUCCUGUAGGAUUUCCACUCCUAGAAUUGCACACUUUGAAGGAUUUCUUAUAGCAGAAGUUUUUUGGGAACUAGGACUCUGGCUGGAUUUGGGUCUCUGGACUCUCAGGUGAAGUGACCUUGAGACACUAGGGCAUGCAGAUUUCCUUGCUGUUGAAAAGAGCUAUUGUUGGCACCCAGGAGCCAUGGUCUGAAUGGGGGUGUCACCUCUUAAAUUUGCAAAUGUCACAGGAUUUCUUCUAAAUGAAUGGUGCUAAGAACAUAAGGUCUGGCUGGCUUUCGACUUAGAGGCGCCUCCUCUAAAUUGGUCUUCAGACGCUAGGUUGGAAAGUGUUCCUACAUAUGCCAAAUAGCCCUUGCUAUGCAAUUAAUAAGCUUCAAAUUACCAUGGAGUUGCUGCCCCUGCAAAGAUUUUGGCAGAGCCUGGUUGUGGUGCCCCACUCCACUCCACCACCCUUAGCAGGUCCUUAUGGUUGCAUGGGGAAUCAUCGUGGAGCAUGCCAACCCAGCUCCAUCCUGGGAACAGCACCUGUAUUUUACCCUAAAAUUUCUGUCCCAUUAUAGCUCCUGUUAGGAUACAAAUGUAACUUCUCGGUUUCCACUGAUUUUACCCCCAGUCAUCUUUCCAUACAGACAUUGCUCCACUCCCCAGAGGAUUAUUGUGAGCAGAUGUGAGCUCUGCUGUCCCUUUGGACUGACAAAGACAGAGGUUUUGUCCCAAGUUGCUUUUGAACCUGUCCUGCACCUGUUACGAGUCCUCAGUCUCCUGCAAUUUUGUGGGUCAGUCACAUGUAAAACAGCACAGCUGGCUGGCAUGCUUUGCUCAUGAGGGGAGACAAGAGAAGAAUCCCUCUGCUCACACCAGACCUGCAGCUGCCAAACCUCACCAAAGCACCUGAGGAGCCCCCAGGGACUGAUGGUACAGAAGGGAGGUGAUGGAGGACAGCACAGCAGGCAGCCUGCCCUCCAUCUGGGUGUGAAGAAGGCAGGGCUGGGAACUAAGCAACAUCCCAGCAGGUCUGGCUGAUGGUGCCACCCUGAGGGCUUCCCCUGCCUUUGGGCAGUCCCAGCUGCUGCAGCUCACUUGACAGAGACUCAUUGUCUAUACUGUGCUUGGCUGCACUGGAGAUGAUGAAGCCGAGGACAGCAAUGGUUGCCUUCACAUCCCCUGACUGCAGAUGGGAAGGAGGGCGAGCUCUGUCACCUUGGGAAGGCGUCUGCAGAGUCACUGCUGCCCGUCUCUGGAGCGUGGCUCCAUUGGGGGACCGUGGUAAGGACAGCAGUGCUCACUUAACUGUGCACCUGAGGACAGCUUCAGGAUCUUGUCAUACUGUGGGAGAGCAGAGCUUCACAGUAAACACCGGCUAACACACUGACUGCCAGUGUUAACACUAACAGUUCUUACCUAAAUAUUAAUACUAGUAACACUUACUAUGCGUAUUAUUAAUCCUAGUAGAGGCUGGUAGCGUUCUUUAGGCUGAGGCUUGCAUGAAGAAUACAAAAUUAAUUAACGUUGCUGAUUAUGCUAUUGUGUUGAAAUACUUGGCCUCCACUGCGGUAGCCCCACGCUUACCUCAAUGGCCUGCCCCAGCAGGUCCCAAAACACCUGGAUGCAGAUCAGCUUAAGCUUCACUGAUGUGAUAAACAGAGUUCACUCUUUAUAAUUUUUAAAAUUUUAAUAAAGGAUAAAAGGACAAAAUAAUCCAGCACUGGGAUGCUUUUAGCACACAGCCAAAGAGCACAGAGGUAGCUUAAAAACAUGUUCACUAUAUACUGUUACAUUGCUGAGGUUACAGGCAUAUUCAUUAACUUACACAUUAUUCAAACAUUCCUUUGACUUUUUGAUGUUCCAGGAACUCUCUUGUUUGGUUUUAACCUCUGACUUGUCUGCAGAACGUUCUGUAAAUUAGGUCUACAUAUUUUAUUUCUUCCUGUAGUUUUAUCCUGUUGCUUCACACUCCCUGAUAACACUGGUAAGAGUCGAUAAAUCCUUCCUGGAUGCUUAA